UACGAAGGGGGGCUCGCGUUGCUCGGAAUCACUGGGCGUAAAGGGUGCGUAGGCGGGUCUUUUAAGUCAGGGGGUGAAAUCCUGGAGCUCAACUCCAGAACUGCCUUUGAUACUGAAGAUCUUGAGUUCGGGAGAGGUGAGUGGAACUGCGAGUGUAGAGGUGAAAUUCGUAGAUAUUCGCAAGAACACCAGUGGCGAAGGCGGCUCACUGGCCCGAUACUGACGCUGAGGCACGAAAGCGUGGGGAGCAAACAGG
rnacentral:rRNA from 1 species